rnacentral:rRNA from 1 species
UUAAAUUGAAGAGUUUGAUCAUGGCUCAGAUUGAACGCUGGCGGCAGGCCUAACACAUGCAAGUCGAACGGUAACAGGAAGCAGCUUGCUGCUUUGCUGACGAGUGGCGGACGGGUGAGUAAUGUCUGGGAAACUGCCUGAUGGAGGGGGAUAACUACUGGAAACGGUGGCUAAUACCGCAUAACGUCGCAAGACCAAAGAGGGGGACCUUCGGGCCUCUUGCCAUCAGAUGUGCCCAGAUGGGAUUAGCUUGUUGGUGAGGUAACGGCUCACCAAGGCGACGAUCCCUAGCUGGUCUGAGAGGAUGACCAGCCACACUGGAACUGAGACAC